UACGAAGUGGGCUAGCGUUGCUCGGAAUCACUGGGCGUAAAGGGUGCGUAGGCGGGUCUUUAAGUCAGGGGUGAAAUCCUGGAGCUCAACUCCAGAACUGCCUUUGAUACUGAAGAUCUUGAGUUCGGGAGAGGUGAGUGGAACUGCGAGUGUAGAGGUGAAAUUCGUAGAUAUUCGCAAGAACACCAGUGGCGAAGGCGGCUCACUGGCCCGAUACUGACGCUGAGGCACGAAAGCGUGGGGAGCAAACGGG
rnacentral:rRNA from 1 species